UACGUAGGACGCAAGCGUUGUCCGGAAUUAUUGGGCGUAAAGGGUGCGUAGGCGGUUUUGUAAGUCUUGUGUGAAAUCUUCAGGCUCAACUUGAAGACUGCACGAGAAACUGCAGGGCUUGAGUGUGGGAGAGGUGAGUGGAAUUCCUGGUGUAGCGGUGAAAUGCGUAGAUAUCAGGAGGAACACCUGUGGCGAAAGCGGCUCACUGGACCACAACUGACGCUGAUGCACGAAAGCUAGGGGAGCAAACAGG
rnacentral:rRNA from 1 species